CGACAGCAAUAUGAAGGUCAGGCUGAAGACCUUACCCGAUUAGCUGAGAGGUGGUGCAUGGCCGUCGUCAGUUCGUACUGUGAAGCAUCCUGUUAAGUCAGGCAACGAGCGAGACCCACGUCCACAGUUGCCAGCAUACCCUCCGGGGUGAUGGGUACACUGUGGAGACCGCCGCUGCUAAAGCGGAGGAAGGAGUGGGCAACGGUAGGCCAGUAUGCCCCGAAUCUCCCGGGCUACACGCGGGCUACAAUGGUUGGUACAAUGGGCAUCUACCCCGAAAGGGGAAGGAAAUCUCUUAAAGCCAAUCGUAGUUCGGAUUGAGGGCUGCAACUCGCCCUCAUGAAGCUGGAAUCCGUAGUAAUCGCGUUUCAACAGAACGCGGUGAAUACGUCCCUGCUCCUU
rnacentral:rRNA from 1 species